rnacentral:rRNA from 1 species
CUACGGGCGGCUCCAGUCAAGAAUCUUCCUCAAUGGGCGAAAGCCUGAAGGAGCAAUGCCGCGUGGUUGAUGACGCUUUUCGGAGUGUAAAAACCUUUUAUCAGGGACGAAUUCGUGACGGUACCUGAUGAAUAAGUCACUGCUAACUUCGUGCCAGCAGCAGCGGUAAUACGAAGGUGGCAAGCGUUACCCGGAUUUAUUGGGCGUAAAGGGUCCGCAGACGGUUUGAAAAGUUCUUGGUCAAAUCUUGAGGCUUAACUUCAAGACUGCCAAGAAAACUUUCAGACUAGAGACCGGGAGAGGCAAGUAGAAUUGCUGGUGUAGUAGUAAAAUGCGUUGAUAUCAGCAGGAAUACCAAAAGCGAAGGCAGCUUGCUAGAACGGUUCUGACGUUCAGGGGCGAAAGCGUGGGUAGCGAAUGGGAUUAGAUACCCCCGUAGUC